rnacentral:rRNA from 1 species
UACGUAGGGGGCAAGCGUUGUCCGGAUUUAUUGGGCGUAAAGAGCGUGUAGGCGGCUAGGUAGGUCCGUUGUGAAAACUCGAGGCUCAACCUCGAGACGCCGGUGGAAACCAUCUAGCUAGAGUCCGGAAGAGGAGAGUGGAAUUCCUGGUGUAGCGGUGAAAUGCGCAGAUAUCAGGAAGAACACCCGUGGCGAAGGCGGCUCUCUGGGCCGAUACUGACGCUGAGGAGCGAAAGCGUGGGGAGCGAACAGG